CCAAAGUUUUCUUUCUGUGGAAAAGUUGAUGCGCCUUUUAAGAAGUGAACAACCAAGUUAUUUGCCUGGAAAAGUCUCCUGAAAUACUGAAGUUAUGCUAAAGAAGGAGAAGAGAAAGGAAGCUGCAGUCCCUGUAUAACUCCUAAAUUUUUAAUUUGGAGUUCCUCUUCUUCGGUGCAACAAUCUUUCUGCAUGCACAGAUCCAUGUGGCACUCAUCUCAUCAUUCUGAGGGAAGAAAGAUGCAUAGGGAAUGUUGCAUGUGGUUAUUUCUAUUUCUCUCAAGUGCACAUUAUCCAUCAAGAAGAUUUAAAUCAUUUUGAAAUAUUAAUAUAAUGAUCAAAAAUUAACUUUUAUACAUGUUAUUAGGCAGAACCCACAGAAAACAAUAAAGCACGAGAGAAAAGAGGAUGGCAGUUUACCCAGGAAACAUAGGUUGUGCAAAGCUUUGCAAUGAUACUCUCAAUUCAGAGCAAUGAAGAACAGAAUGCUGUCUUCCCAUAAUGAUGGCAUUCAAUUAUCACUAGACUUACAAGACUACAGAAAAUUUCUCAAGAACCAGUAAGGAUCAGACAGAGCCAAUGACAAUACUGAAGAAGCUUGCCAGUGGAGAAUGAAAGCUCAGUUACACAAAUUACGUUGUUGAACCAGUGCCAGAAAUAAAAUGUGAUGGACAAACUCAUUAAUUAUGAGCGUGAACCAGACAAAACUGAGAAUAAGGUGGGAAUUCCUUCAUAAUCUGUCCCUACUUAGUUGCACCAUAACCAUAAAUAUUGUAAGAGGCAAAAGAGUGGUAAAAAGCUCAUUAACACUGAGAUUAUUCUUGUUAAUUCAUCUGAAUGAGACCUUAACGUACAAAAUAACUUGAAUUACAGAAAAUGUUGAAAAGUUGUAUUUCUUGCACAUCUAAGAUUGAGAGGGAGAUAUAUGUGUGAAUUGUCACGAAAGGCCAUCUUCAAGAUAUCACAAUCAAUCUGUAGAUUAAGGUCAGCCAAUAUAAUAUUCCAACCUGAACCUUUGAAAACUGAACAGGAGUGAGUAUAAUAAUCUCUAGAAAAGCAUCAGUUAAGAUUCUAGCUUGGCCAUCUCCAUCAUCUGUGUCCUUUAUUUCUAAUAACCUUCAAGUUUUCUAUAUAUGACAUUAUCUUUCCAGUCUCCUCGGAAAAAUUGCUCUUCACUUCAAUUAGUUUGAAUCAGUUUAUUUUGCUUUCCACCAAGAGCUGAAAUUUUUCUAAACCUGCACACUCACUUAUGAAGUCCCUAGAGAUUACACGUUACUUGUGUUCCUUAGUCUUCAUUCCUUGUUCUUAUCCUGUUUACUCUUCUAUGCAUCAAUUCUGUGAGAGGCAAAACCAAUUUUUAUGUGUGUAAAAGGGAAAAAAACAUAUGUGCAUAACUAAUGACUUCUGAAAUUUAUUAUGACAAGAACCCUCCCACUCAGAAGAAUUAUGAAGGCUUGUUGUAAAAAAUAAGAAAAUAAGUCUUUGAUAAUGACAGACAACAAUUAGGUUGCUUGGACUUCAGAAUUUUAUUCUAAAUAAACCUUCUAAACUGAACUUACUACCCCAAACCUUGCCUCAAUCUGCCUGUGAUAGUAAGGUAAGAUUUAUUCAAUUCACCAAGUCAGCUAAGAUCAGGUUAACUCUUGCC
rnacentral:lncRNA from 1 species